CCUACGGGAGGCAGCAGUGGGGGAUAUUGCACAAUGGGGGAAACCCUGAUGCAGCGACGCCGCGUGAGUGAAGAAGUAUUUCGGUAUGUAAAGCUCUAUCAGCAGGGAAGAAAAUGAAAGUACCUGACCAAGAAGCCCCGGCUAACUACGUGCCAGCAGCCGCGGUAAUACGUAGGGGGCAAGCGUUAUCCGGAUUUACUGGGUGUAAAGGGAGCGUAGACUGGUAUGUAAGUCUGGAGUGAAAGCCCGGGGCCCAACCCCCGGACUGCUUUGGAAACUGUGUAACUGGAGUACAGGAGGGGCAGGCGGAAUUCCUGGUGUAGCGGUGAAAUGCGUAGAUAUCAGGAGGAACACCGGCGGCGAAGGCGGGCUGCUGGACUGAAACUGACGUUGAGGCACGAAAGCGUGGGGAGCGAACAGGAUUAGAUACCCCAGUAGUC
rnacentral:rRNA from 1 species